AUUGAACGCUGGCGGCAGGCUUAACACAUGCAAGUCGAGCGGAGAGAGGUAGCUUGCUACUGAUCUUAGCGGCGGACGGGUGAGUAAUGCUUAGGAAUCUGCCUAUUAGUGGGGGACAACAUUUCGAAAGGAAUGCUAAUACCGCAUACGUCCUACGGGAGAAAGCAGGGGAUCUUCGGGCCUUGCGCUAAUAGAUGAGCCUAAGUCGGAUUAGCUAGUUGGUGGGGUAAAGGCCUACCAAGGCGACGAUCCGUAGCGGGUCUGAGAGGAUGAUCCGCCACACUGGGACUGAGACACGGCCCAGACUCCUACGGGAGGCAGCAGUGGGGAAUAUUGGACAAUGGGCGGAAGCCUGAUCCAGCCAUGCCGCGUGUGUGAAGAAGGCCUUAUGGUUGUAAAGCACUUUAAGCGAGGAGGAGGCUACUUUAGUUAAUACCUAGAGAUAGUGGACGUUACUCGCAGAAUAAGCACCGGCUAACUCUGUGCCAGCCGCCGCAGUAA
rnacentral:rRNA from 1 species